rnacentral:rRNA from 1 species
UACCCCACUAUGCCAGCUGUAAAUUAACACCAUAUAACUUAUAGUGUUCGCCAGAAUAUUACGGGCGAAAAGCCUAAAACUCAAAAGACUUGGCGGUGCUUCAUACACGAUUUAGAGGAGCCUGUCCUAUAAUCGAUACCCCACGAUAAACCUAACCACCCCUUGCUAAACUCAGCCUAUAUACCGCCGUCCUCAACCUACACUGUGAAGAUAUAAUAGUAAGUACAAAAGUAUAACACAAAAAAGUCAGGUCAAGGUGUAGCUUAUGGAGUGGAAGAGAUGGGCUACAUUUUUUAAAAUAAAAUACACGACAAGACAUUUUGAAAAAUACGUCUAAAGGAGGAUUUAAUAGUAAAAUAAACAAGAAAACUUAUUUUAAACACGCCCUGAAGCGCGCACACACCGCCCGUCACCCUCCUCAAUAGCUAAAAAUUAUUUAUAAUUAAGAUAACUAAAUAGAUGAGGUAAGUCGUAACA